ensembl:ncRNA F25D7.10 ncRNA
UUUAUUCGAUUCUGGCUGUCGCAUCCACUUUGAUCUCAUGCUUUCUGAAUUAUAUUAUGAUGAGCUGAAACAGUACUUUAGAUGACUUUUUAUUCGUAUCUUCUUAUUUACAUGCGUGAUACAAUGAAACUGACUCGUGACUGAUGUAA